rnacentral:lncRNA from 1 species
AUUUUAGGAUUUUAUAAUUAGGAAAAUAUCUGAAUGUUCUAGAAAGUGUACCAGCUGUCCAAAUUAGUUUUAAAAGAUGCUGAAAAUGGAUAGUUGUACAUUCUAUCCUCUGCAGAAAUGUUGUACUAGUUAGGGAAGUUAGGGUAGAAUAUUCGAUUGGUGCCAUUUUUUUGGUCACUCUAUAUAAAAAAACUUUCUCUCACUCACACAUAGAUUUUCAGCCUUAUUCUCUGCACCAAAAACUCUAUUUUACUUUCUAAAAGGUUCAUGCUCCAGAAAUCUUGAAAAACUUCAAAAAACCUCUCAUUUUUUGAUUAUUAACAAGUUAAAAAUAUGGUUUGAAAUAUGGAGUAUUCUGGGGUUAUUUACUUUGGGAUUUCUUUUUUCAAGUAGAUGGUUUUGGUUUGAAAGUCUGAGAUUUUAUUUGGUUGUUGGGCUGCUUGAUUUCUGCUGCUGCUACUUGCUUUCUUCAAGUGUUUUCAACCAGUACUUUCCUGUUUUAGUACUCGGUGGUUCUUAUUGCUAUUUUUUC